AUGGGCAAUAAUAACAUGUCUUCGUUCGUUGGUUUAUUAACAAUUCCGUGUGUUGCAUUCAUAAUCGUCGGACAUUUGGUUUGGAGAAUUGGGGAAUGGCGAUGGAAUUCCUCAGCCGCAGAGGAGCAGAGGAGAAAACAGAGCAGGUUACUCUGGUUCGCAUCGCCGGCGUUGGAUUCGAAAUGGGCGUCGGAUCGGCACCCACACUUGAGAGUUGGGACCUCCACCUCCACUGUGGUGGAGCAGCCGGCCGCGUGCGUGGACCUGGCGUUUGACCGGCACACACUAGCUAGUACAGUAGCAAUGGAAGAAGAAGAAGAAGUCGCGAGGGUGGUUGGGUUUGAACGCGUGGGGGGAAAGGAAAGAAGCCAACAGCAACAGCAGGGGGGAGAAGAAUCGCAGCAGCAGGCAGAAUUCCACUACGACGACAAGCGCGUCUGA
rnacentral:rRNA from 1 species